GAAUCUCCCCGCAGGCUUUGCCGGGGGACGGUUCCCGUGGAGUUGGGGGUUCAGAUCUAAGAGGGGGCUGCAUUUCGCAGGAGUUGGGGGCCCCGCCCGCUUGGGUGGAGGGAAGAGGAUGGGUAGGGGGUGGUCCUGGAUCCUUCGCAGGUUUGGGGAACUCGAUGCAGCCAAGCUGUAAGGGGGACGAGAGGAAGAGCCAUGGAGUGGAAUCAGACCUUUAUGGGGCUUAGGGGUCAUAUCAUUGGGAGAACUGAGAAGCGCUGAAUUCUCCAGGGGGUGCCUGGAUCCCGAAGUGUCGGGGCCAGGAUGGGGGGACUCGGAUUUCGAUGGGGAUUUGGGGACUGGAUCUCCUCGGGUGAAUGAUGGGGGCAGGAUCAUUGUGGGGUCUGGGAGGUCCCGGGCCCUUCGGGAAGGUGGGGGCACCGUCCCCGCAGGAGGAGCUGGGGGCAGGGGCGGCCCGGGCUGCGGGCCGAGCGG
rnacentral:lncRNA from 1 species